rnacentral:rRNA from 1 species
GGGCAGCAGUAGGGAAUCUUCCGCAAUGGACGAAAGUCUGACGGAGCAACGCCGCGUGAGUGAUGAAGGUUUUCGGAUCGUAAAGCUCUGUUGUUAGGGAAGAACAAGUACCGUUCGAAUAGGGCGGUACCUUGACGGUACCUAACCAGAAAGCCACGGCUAACUACGUGCCAGCAGCCGCGGUAAUACGUAGGUGGCAAGCGUUGUCCGGAAUUAUUGGGCGUAAAGCGCGCGCAGGUGGUUCCUUAAGUCUGAUGUGAAAGCCCACGGCUCAACCGUGGAGGGUCAUUGGAAACUGGGGAACUUGAGUGCAGAAGAGGAAAGUGGAAUUCCAAGUGUAGCGGUGAAAUGCGUAGAUAUUUGGAGGAACACCAGUGGCGAAGGCGACUUUCUGGUCUGUAACUGACACUGAGGCGCGAAAGCGUGGGGAGCAAACAGGAUUAGAUACCCCGGUAGUC